rnacentral:rRNA from 1 species
UACGGGGGGAGCAAGCGUUGUUCGGAUUUACUGGGCGUAAAGGGCGCGUAGGCGGCCACCGCAAGUCAGUUGUGAAAUCUCUGGGCUUAACCCAGAACGGUCAGCUGAUACUGCGGGGCUAGAGUGCAGAAGGGGCAACUGGAAUUCUCGGUGUAGCGGUGAAAUGCGUAGAUAUCGGAAGGAACACCUGUGGCGAAAGCGGCUCACUGGACCACAACUGACGCUGAGGCACGAAAGCUAGGGGAGCAAACAGG